rnacentral:rRNA from 1 species
CCUACGGGAGGCAGCAGUGGGGAAUCUUGGACAAUGGGGGCAACCCUGAUCCAGCAAUGCCGCGUGUGGGAUGAAGGCCUUCGGGUUGUAAACCACUUUUGGCGGGGGCGAAAUAUCGAGUGCUAAUACCAUUCGGUGAUGACGGUACCCGCAGAAUAAGCACCGGCUAACUACGUGCCAGCAGCCGCGGUAAUACGUAGGGUGCAAGCGUUAAUCGGAAUUACUGGGCGUAAAGCGUGCGCAGGCGGUUGAGUAAGACAGAUGUGAAAUUCCCGGGCUCAACCUGGGAACUGCAUUUGUGACUGCUUGACUAGAGUGCGGCAGAGGGGAGUGGAAUUCCGCGUGUAGCAGUGAAAUGCGUAGAUAUGCGGAGGAACACCGAUGGCGAAGGCAACUCCCUGGGCCUGCACUGACGCUCAUGCACGAAAGCGUGGGGAGCAAACAGGAUUAGAUACCCUGGUAGUCCAGCCCUAAACGAUGUCAACUAGGUGUUGGGUGGUAAAACCAUUUAGUACCGUAGCUAACGC